CACCUGGGGAUAGAGACAUGCCUGAGAUGAGCCAGGAAAUGUAUCUACAGGCCAGGCAAGAACACCCAGUUGCAGUCAUACACGGAACAGUGCAAGCUGUGCAAAGAAUAUAGUGAUUGACAAGAAAUGCCUCAUGAAAUCCCAGUCCAGCUCUGGGAAAAGGUCAGAACAGAGUGGUUCAUUUCUAAUGAAAGAAACUUUAUGGCCACAGUAGAUUACUAACCCAGUUUCUGGAAGAUGCACAGGCAAGAACAGUGAUCAGAAAACUGAAGGCACAGGCUUUGAGUUACAACAUGCCUCACUCACUGGGACCAAGUGAGAGGGUCCUCAUACCCCUCAUUUAGGAAUUCGAAUAUUUUAGGGCAAUUAAAAACUCAAGCCCAAGAUUUAUGUCCCUGAAAAUACAGAGCAGAAUAAGCAGAUGGCAUUGGUAUUAAAGGCAGCUGAAAAAACUGUGAUAGUGUUAGACAGAUAAGAAGGGGAGCUGGACUGGUUAUUUUGAACCUCAUAAAUGCUAAAUACUCCUAUGGUUUAGACAGUGACAUGCACUUGGAUACAGGUCUUGGAGUCUAGGACAGCAUGUCUGCUGAAGUCUGGAGCAAAUAUUAUUGAUAUUUUUUUUCUUUACAGGUACUAGGAAACUAAGCAAGCACCGACAGCCCGAGCCCCAGAGGCUACUGUAGAUACCAUAAUAACCCUAAAGUUAUAAGGAGAGGUAACAGCACAAAAGAAGUCAUUGGGUGCAGGACAUGAGACAAGUACAACAAGCAGGAACAGUGAAACUUAAGGCACUGUGCAGCGACUGGAAUCAAAUGUAGCAGCAGGCAAUUAUAGUCUGUUAGACUAAUGUGGCCAAGACAAGAAGGAUGUGAAGUGUGUGAUCAACACAGAGGAUCAACACAACUGAUCCUCUCAAGGGCCUUCAAUAAUAAAGGAAAACGGGGAAGCUAAAUAGUAUGGGGAGGACUUGUUUGCUUUGUCACUGCUAUCCCGAGUUGUUUUUGCUAGUGCAGUGUAGCCUGCCUGGCAUCUGUUUGCCACCUUGGUGGAGUGUCAGUCUGCCUUAGGUCCUGCGUCAUACCAGCUAUUUCCAUGCAGAUGUCUUGGAUACCUUAGGGCCUCUCAAAUGGCACUGGGUAUUGAGCGUGGGCAGAGGAAUCCUGUCCUUUGCUGUGUGGAAAAACAUUGCUCUUGGAGGGCCACAACAGUAUGGUAAUGGCUGCAGCCAAGUGUGGCAGCAGUGACCAAGCUAGAGCAAUACUGAAAUAGGUAAGUCUGUGUAACAAUUAUCUUCAGCUCUGGCUUUUUAAGGCCAGCUGUGGGCCCAGCCCUGCAGCUUCCUGCUUUGGCCAAGAAUGAAUCACUUGUGGGGAGCUGUAAUUCCCAGAGCAGAUGGGAGCUGUCAGGUUCACAGUCAGAGAUGAUGGAAAGGGAUACAACGUGUAACAGCUCCCUCUGGGCAGGAGAGAUUGGGGGGAGACAGGUGGGUCUCUCCAGCCCAGGAGAGGGUAUCACAGAUAAAAAUGCUUUAGGAAGAUGCUUUAACAGGCAAUCAGGUGUCUAUGUAAAAUACCCAGAGGAGAAAGCAAUUAAAAGAACUGUAGUUGAUUCAAAAAAAAAAAAAAAAAAAAAAUAGACUUGAAGAAGACUGAGUCUGAGAAUGAACUUAAUCACCAAGGUGCCCUUGAAGUUUAUCAGACCACCUAGAGGUGCAAUAUCCUAGGCAAGCAAGAAGUUCUGAGAAAUACCCUUCAUCUAAUCUUUUUAUUAUUAUUAUUUUUCCCUACAUUAGAAAGAUUGAAGUGUUUUGGCUUGGUUGGAAAACUGAACUAGUUUGCCAGAGGGAAAGCGGAGGAAACUAGAACAUUUUCCCAAAGAGAAGAUUUCUUUUUAUUGCAUGUGGAUGCAGCAGCAGCCUCUGCUGUCCAAUUUGAAAAGCGAGUUGUACUUUCUGCAGGACUUGGAAUAUUGUG
ensembl:lncRNA